rnacentral:rRNA from 1 species
GAAUCUGGAGACAGGUGCUGCAUGGCUGUCGUCAGCUCGUGUCGUGAGAUGUUGGGUUAAGUCCCGCAACGAGCGCAACCCUUGCCUUUAGUUGCCAGCAGUUCGGCUGGGCACUCUAAAGGGACUGCCGGUGUUAAACCGGAGGAAGGUGGGGAUGACGUCAAGUCCUCAUGGCCUUUAUGACCAGGGCUACACACGUACUACAAUGGCCGAUACAAAGGGCAGCGACACUGCGAGGUGAAGCCAAUCCCGUAAAAUCGGUCUCAGUCCGGAUUGGAGUCUGCAACUCGACUCCAUGAAGUUGGAAUCGCUAGUAAUCGUGGAUCAGCAUGCCACGGUGAAUACGUUCCGGGCCUU